rnacentral:lncRNA from 10 species
UGUCUGGGAGGAGCCCUGUGGACGCCACAAUUUCUGUGCCCUCCCAUCUGCUUACAGCACCACCUAUUGGUCAAGCCCAACCAGAAACUAGAGGGCAAGGGAGCUAGAGGCUGCAGCGCACUCAAAUUAGUAGUCAUGGGCGACAGCAGGGCAGAGGACGGUGAAGCGGAUCCACAGGGUAUCCAAGCGGAUACACACGUCCAGCAUGAGCUGGGAUCACGCCUGUAAUCCCAGCACUUUGGGAGGCCAAGUGCUGUUUAGGAACCACUUUGAGUUCUCGUUAGAAGCCAAGUAACGAGGCAUUUUGGAACCGUCUAUUACUACAUACAGAAGGAGGAGCACACUUACCACUCCGAGUAAUGAUGGGACCAGCAGAGAGCACCGCGCUGCCAGAAGAGCUCUGGGGGCUCCAAGUCGUCCUCCUCCCAGCAUCUCUCCUUUCUCUGUGGCUGCAAAUCUGAGGUGUUAAUGAAAACAAAUGAAAUUCCACACCGGCGCAGAAUUGUUUCUUUAUGGCCAUUUGGAAAGCAGAUUCUUUUGGAAGAGAUACCACAUGUUUAAUUUUAUUCAUUUCCUUCCGUGCAUUUAUUUAAUUACUUUGCAUGUAACUGCUACAGUGUUUCUUACCCUGGCUUGGGCCACAUUUCUUAUUUCCUCCCGCUGUAAUUGUGCACUGCCUCAUUAAUUUACAUAGCUCAAUGGCUCUCUUGAAAAAGUGCUGUGUUUAUCAAACUUUUCUACUUUUAUUUCUCUCAAGCCUUUAAUAAAUCCUUCCCGGAAAUGUUGGUCAGCAUGGACUCAAGGUAAUGUGGACUCUCCAUUUACCCCCAUCUGUCAUAGCUUAUUAGUCCAAAGGGAUCAAUGAGUAUGAAGAAAUAGCUUCCCAUUUAUGCAUAAAUUGAACAUAAAUAUAAACAUAUUAAUGGUAUUUCAAAUUAAAAAAGGGCAUGCAUUUUUCUCAGGUUAAUAAUGAUGUGGCCCUAGAGAGCCGGUCAGAAUAGAAUUUUUUUUAUUCACUACUUUAAAUGGAUCUUUAUUUUAAUGGUGGCUGUAUGCAAUACAGAUGCACACCUUUCAUUGCUUUUAACUUUUAAGCUCAGUGAUUUCCCGACCAUCUGGCCACAAUCUACCUUUCCAGCACCAGCCCAGUCCACUCCCUGGGUUUUCCAAUCAUCUCUACUCUGCUCUACAACCCUACUGAAGAACUAGAAGCUCUCUGAUCACACUAAUUUAUGUGUCUCUGUCUUUGACCAUCGUUUGGCCAGCAAUGUCUCUCACACUCUUGAUUUUGGUUCUCUGGGGUUCAGUCCUCUUCGAAGUAACAGCUGGAGUUCAUCUCUAACAAUCCUCUCAACCUCUCCUGCUUCAUCUCUCUCACAAUGGUGAAUACUGCCUGUUACUACAACCCAUAUAUUUGUCUGCCUUUGCACCAUAAGAUUUUUGUCUUGAUUUCUUCUGUGACUAGCUAAUGAUCCUAAAGAAUAAUCUAAUUAAAUUCAGAAUUUGUGCACACCUCAUCUCUGUAUCCUCGGUAUAAUGCUUGGCACAAAGUAGGAUAUUUAGCAGAUCUUUACUAGACAAAUGAAUAAAUCCUACUUCAAACUAUUUGAUCUAACACAUAUCCACUUUCUAUGCAGAACUUAGUUUCUGACAUUUGAUAACCUUUCAGCUUAGAUCAAUUCAACAACUUAAAAUGAAGUUCCUUAAAAACAUACCGGCAUAAGGAAGGG